UAUUGUUACUAAUGUUAUUUGUAUGACUUCAGCACCUGGAGUUCUCAGGUGAGACUGAUAAACAUGUAUUCCAACCUAGAAGUGUAUGCAAUCUGAGUAUGUCUUUAUGGAAGUACUGCAAUGACAGAAAGGUCUAAAUUAUGUUAUUACAUAUAAUUUAAUACAUUUUUUUUCCUGAGUGUGAAAGCAGAGCAUAUGCCAACAGCACUCUUAAAAGAAAUAUUUUUAUGUCAAUUUUAUGAUUCAGUGCUGUUGUGGUGGAGCUGUAGCAAAGAGUAUGUAAAAUUACAGAGAGGUAAUCUUCCUCCUGCCAGGUUAAGACAGAAUGCUUCUGUGAGAAGUUUUUACUAAGAUGCAGUCAUUUUGUUAUGAUCUAUUACUUAAGGACUGGUUUAAAUAUAAAUUAAGUUAUGGCAAGAAUAUAUGCGUAUUUCAAGUGACUGAUCAUUACAGUAACAGUGGGUAUGCAUACUAUUAUACUAACUCUACCUCCUCUCACACAUACCCCUUCUCAAAACUGACACUUUCAUUUUGUUAAUCUUUACCAAAGCCCCCUCACUUUUAUAAGAGGAAACCAUUCUAGAAGGGAAGAAUCAUCGUAAGAAGAGAAUAUUGGGUGGGUGGUUGGCUGGCUGGCCAGGCAGCUAUAAGGCCUGAUCCCUUUGUCUGUAUCUGGGCUACCAUAACAGUGCAAAAUGUACCUGGGAAGCGUACGUAAUGCAAAAAGGCUAUCUUGAUAGUGAAGAGAUGGCUUAAUAUGAAUAGAGUAGACCCAUCACACCUCCCGUAGUAUGGUAUUUAGCUGGAUUGCUGCUAUACUCUGACUCUUUCUGACGCAAAGAACAACCUUUUGGGCAUUCCUAGCCAAGAAUAGCCAAAAAUAAGUUACAGUAGUCUGAGGCUGCACUAAUUAACUGUAGAAGCCAGAAAUCAGGGAAAUUCAAAGAUCAGAAAAAAUGUUUUCAAGGCUAAAUCUACCUUCGUCCAUUUUCUGGUUCUGUUGUAACCAGAAUCGAGGGAGAAUAGAUAACUGGGUUCUGGAUAUUUUGAGACAUGGGCUGUUGUGUCAGGAAGCAUGCAUAAUGCAUUGCUAUGGUAAUGGUUACCACAGUUGGUAUCUUCUAUGGAAAAAAAUAAAUAAAUUCUGUAUAAAUGUAGUUAGCUUACAUAAGCAGCUGACUUUAGUCAGACGUGCCUUUUAGUCAUCUAUAAUAUCUUAGAACUUGUCAUAUUUUACAUUUUGUGUAGCAAAGGCAGCAGUUUGCAGAAGUGAUAGUUUAUAUAGUUGAAAAUGCAAGUUAUUACCCUGAACUGAGCUGGCUACUAAAGAAAGAGUCUUAUCUUCAUUAUGACAUACUAUACUUACAGUACAAUUAACUGCAGUAUCUGAUAACUGCUAAUGUGCCAAUAGUUGCAAGAAAUUCCAAUAACAGACUGGAAAGUACUUUUUAUGGUAUUUCUAAAAUUGAAAUCUCCAAAGUUACUUGGAAAAGACGCUUGUUCUGACAUCUUUAUUUGCUUUUCUCAUCCUCCAUUUCUCUUUUACACUUCUUUCUACUGCUGACUAUAGCCAUGGCUUAUCUGUUCCAGGUUCCAAACUGAGAUGAACAGCUUCCUGUCAAAUAAGCCAGUGCUACUGGAUGAAUUGACCUUGACAUGACUGCUGUGAUGCCAAAAGCCACAAGCUAAGUGGUAACAAUUGUUAGGUAAAAGAUCCUGAUAAAGCCUGGUGCUCCACCUAUGUUAGACAGCAUCUUACAAAUCAGCCUUCUCAGCCACUAUAACUUCUAAUGUUACCAUCAUGGGAUGGAUUGCUUUCCUGGCUUGACCUCUGACCUUCCUCAUCACCAUGAAGUUUUCUGGCAGCCCGG